CAGUGAUGAAGAGGAGGAAGCAGCAGCAGAGGAUUGAUGAAGACAUGUUUCUCUGUCAGCUUCAGCAGAAGAACUACCUGAGUCUGACUGAAAGCUGCUGGAAAAACCCGGAGGUCACAUGACGCUGCGUCACUAGUUGCUGGGUAGAACUGCUGAUCAACAGUUCAGAUGCUGGUUCUGGUGGAUCCUGCUGGAUGAAGACAGCCAGAGACUGACCCAACCCGUCAGACCAUGAGUACCUGAGAAAACUGAUGAAGACUCUGGCUGGGCUACAGGAGGUUUCUGGACCUGGACCAGAACAUGAUGAACAUCUACAGAGAUGGAAGAACUUCUUCAACAUCAUUUUACUCAAGUAGACAUUAAAAAGUAUCCGUAAAGUACUCAGCAACUGGUCUAACUGGUCCAACAGGCCCGGCUGGUAGAAAACAACAGAACAAUGAAGCUGGUGUUGAAACAUGAGGUCCGACUUGAACAUAAACUGGGUUUCUGGGUCUGGAGCUUCCUUGUUCUCCAUCUUGUGAAGAAAG